CCUAGGUAUAAUAAAUGCCUUGAGCAGUGUGUUGGGUCAGAGACUUACUAGGGAAGAGUUGUGAACCAGAAACAUGCUACUGGGGAUGAUGUGCGUCAAAGACUAGCUUCUAUAGGGAAGUAUGUCUCAGUGACUUGUUCCCAGGAUUUGGCUAUGUCAGCAGAAUCUUGUUGUUCUCUUCUUCUUACUGGGAUGUUAACAGUUCAUCCAGAGGAUUUUCUGUGCCAUAAGGUGGCUUUCUGUGUCUGUACCUUCCUCCUUGCACAUGGUUUUCUCUUAAGUUCUUGUUCUGUGUUUUUGGAGCGAUACCUUUCAUGUUUCAGUUGCAAGCGAGAAUCUUCAUUCUGUUGGUUCUCACAGAAUGGAUGAGGGGACAAGUUGGCAACCUAUAUCCUUCUUUUGGAUGGCUCUUUGACAGAGUUUCUAUAUUCUUAUAACGCUGGUGAUCAUGAUUGCUUUUGGCCCAUCUCUUUGAUCUCAUUUUGUAGGCAAGUUCCGAUUUGAGCUUAUUGGUGGGCAUUUUUGCCCUCUAUGAGCCAACUCACAUUUUCAUCUAAUGAAUAUCCAAACUCUAUGCUCUCGAAAUGUGAAGGUGACUAACCAGUGACUAGUUAUUAGGGCUAGUCGUAUAUCCUCCAAGUCAUUAAUUUGGCAUGGACACAUUUUAUGCUUGAGCUUGACUUAGGUCCCUGUUACUCCGUGAAAGGAAUUGGGGAUUCUUGCUUAUUUCUAACGUGUUCCCAGUCAACAUCUUUUUCUCAUUUGAUGUUUUUUGGGUACAACAAUUGCGAUUCCCAAACCAAAAAGCAUGUUUGCCACGAAGCUUGUAGAACGGGAAAUUCAAAUUUACUAGAAAGUCAAACAAAAGUUGGAACAAUUUGUUGCUGCACUAAAGGAAGUUAUUGAUAAACAUAUAUAUCUUUAUUACAGGUUCAAGUUGGAGCACUCUGAUUGAGUUGCAUCUGAAGAUCGAUCUAGUGGGAUGCCAGGUUCACAAUUCGAGGGGAGCUCGAUUCAACAAGCUAAAGGAAUUUUAGUUGCUGUAGAUUCUGAAGGGAUUUCAGAAGAACUUGUAAUCAGUUUUAGAAUCUUAGUUGUUAAUUGAUUUGCCUUUGAGAUCUGUAACCUUCAAUUGUUAAUUCUUGAAUCUUGUAGUGUUCUUUCUGUUUAUAAAGAUUAUAGUAUAACAAUUGAUUACCUAAAUUAAUUUUA